GCGGAGUGGCCGGCGCUAGGGCUGCACGGAGCAGCGCCUGGACCGUAGUCUCGGCUGGGGACUGCAGUCUGGAGGGGUCCCUGGACACUCACGCGCCCAGCGACCGUGACACCGCCGGAGGCCACUCCGCCUCGGGAUUGGCCCCACCACCCCCUCGAAAGCGCGGGUCUGCCACUCCACCCGGGGCCCAGACUAAGCGGAGCCGCUACCUGCAGCUGGCCCUGGCCGAGCCGACUGGACUCGAGCUGGCGCCGCCGCCCGCGCCGUCCCCGCUGUCCACUCUCGUCUGCGGACCGUGCCUGGCGUUGUCGCUGCGCGCCUGGCUGAGCCGGGCUCUGUGCUCCCUGCUCGCUCCGGGCUAGGCUCAGGCGCUGCCGGGACGCGGAGGCGGAGCCGCCGCCCCCACCUGCUUGCUGCGGCCGCCCCGGAGCCCCGCCGCCCGGCGCACAGGGACGCGGCCCAGCGGGCGGGGUCGCUUUGGCACACUGGGGGCGGGUCCCGGCCGCUCGGCGCACCUCCCAGAACCUAGUGAUACUACAACUAGAUUUCAACCAAGAAAUGAUGAAUGGGAUGCCAACUACCACUAUCUACAAUGACAGAGGAGAAGCUGGAGACAGUGUUGUGUUGCUAGGUACCCAAGCCAAAGCCAGCGGCUCUCCACCUCUGGACUAUUUAUUAAAGACAGUCUAAUUUGGAAAGGAACAUUUACAGGGCUCGAGUUUUACAGUUAAAUGUACUCCUAAUGGAAAACGUAACUUGAAAAGAACAAGACCUCCUAUCUGCUCCCACCACUCACCACUCACCUGCAGUUGCUCACCUGCCCCACCUCGGCUGCAGCAGAUCUACCAGCAGCCCUUCUGCUCCGUGCCAACUCCUGCAGCUGUUGUUGGAGUUCAUGCCUGGCCUCCUGCGACCGCCUUCAACAUGGGUUCACAGGCUCCAAGGCCCUGCAACCACUCCAGUCUUUCCCAAGAGCAACUUUUAUCAUCUAUCUUGUCUGCUUGCAACCUGAGUCAUUCCCUUCUGACCUUGGGACAAAGCCCGAGAAUGGAGUAUUAUCUAUAAGAUAAAACCUCUAAGGGUUGUAGAGCAGAGGAUGAGGAAAGACCUUCCGAAAGCAGCCCCGGAUCUUUAGGAUGGCUGGUGAUCAGCACUCUGGUGCUCAAAGAAAAAUUGAAAAAAUUAUUGAAAUUGCCUGUAAAAUUGGAGCAAAUUUAAAGCUGAAAGUGCAAAACAGCAACAACAACAACAAAAACAAACAAACAAACAACCAAAGACGCCCUCAGAUAACAGCAGUUUUAGUACAGCUGAGAGAGAAGAUGGGUGAAAGACUGAGGCAUAGAUCAGGUUCUGCUGGAGAAGCCAGGCUCAACUUCCUCAUUUAAACCACGGGGGGAGGAAAAACCAAAAACUGCCCCCCAGGGGAACCCCCAAAAGAGAGGUGAAGAAAAUCCAUAUCAUGUUCCAUAGGAACUGGAAAAGAAGGUGUUCCUUGGAGGCUGAGCUUCAGAAGCUCUCCAGUUCUCUGUUCACCAUCCCUCCAGGAGCCUCCAUACUGUCUGGGUUGAAACUGUAUCCUGGAAUCCUUCUAUUGGCCUACACAUUCACAGAACUGGCACCAUCCCCUAUAAGACAGACAGCCGAACCUUCCUGUUUGUCCUGCGUAUCAUUAUCCUUCUACCUGGAUAGAGCUCUGUCUCUGACAUCUUUAUUAUUUACUAUUGCUGCUCAGAGGCCCUUGAAGGAUGGAAUCAGUGCGAUGAUCACAGGCUUCACUGCUGUCUCCCACAUAGGGUCAACCUCACAGAGCUUUUCUGGAAGAUUGCAGGUUAGAUAACCUCAGGCAGGACCCUUCAGGCACUGAUUGGCAGCUGCUCUUUUCUAGCCUUAGAAAGGAGAAGUUUCUCUUGGCAGAAGAGCACGUGAGAAUAUUUUCCUUUAUGAUGAGGUCCCACUGAAGUGAGAAAGAAUCUUUGUUCUAAAAUUGAAAGCUUUUUAGAUUUAAUAAACUUAGAGGGUGAAAAAUCUUACUAGCUCAGAAGAAGAAGAGAAAGAAGGAGGAGAACCAAUACUCUCUUUUUGCUCUCUCCUUUGGAGGUGGUCAGAAUUAUCCAGGGAAUGAGGGCCUAAGCGGCUUAGUGGUCCAGCCUGAGGAAGGCCCACCUCAGCGGAACAGGCUGUGGAUUGUGCAGAACAGUCAGGAAGGGGUCUGGGAGUUCAUCCCCUCAGAGUUUCUGGCUGUGUGGACCUCUGUAGGAGAAACAAAUGCCUUGGAAUUUUAAGCCAUGAUUAGAUGGCUUGCUGCCACUCGCCUGCUGUGGGGUCUGGGGCCAGCUUUCUUUUUCUGUGUCUGAUUACUGGGACAAAGGACAGCCUCAGUACCUAUUUAUUUCCUAAGGCUCAUUGUGAAAUACCAAUGCAGACCAUGUCUUCUGUCUUACUAUCGAUCUGUCCAGUCAGCAUUUACAGAAAGGCAGCUGAAGCAUCAUACCUCCCAGAGGGAACACUUAGGUCAAGUCCUCCCCGAAAGAUACACUCAUUCCCCUGUACCCCAGUCAGUGGGAUAUAACUGUGUCCUGAGGUCCUAAAAGGUCACCUGAUAUCGGUCUUGCCACUCGGUGUAAAUAAAUGCAAACCCUGAAAGCCUGGCUUUGUUCUUUCUGUCUGGAUGUUACUGUUCUCCUGAUCUCCUGACUUUCCCCGAUGGCAGGGUUUGUCUUUGUUUCUUUUUUAAUCUGCACAGAGGCCAGAUCUGGUCCUGCUGGUUUGGCCUUCAACUUUUCCUCCGACUCUGCUGUGUUCCCGUCACUACUCACCACGCUGACUCUGCCUUAUCUCCAGCCGCUCUCCUCUCCUCCCCUCUUGGCUUCUGUGCUGUCUGUUCCCCACACAGCUGCAAAGUGAUCUUUGCAAAAGGUCAGUGAGAUGCAGUUACCCCUGCACAAAAUCCUCCAGUACCUUCCAACCUCUUUCCAAGGCCUAUAAGACCCACUGGGCAUGCCCACUGGCAGGUCAUGGGUCAGUAGGAGAGAGGACAGCUGUCAGUGCCACCUAAGAUCUGGAAAAAAUUGGGGGAGGAGACAAAAAUGA